ACCAGUGUGAGCAGCAGAUCUCAGCAGCAGUUGGCUGCACAAUGAAUUCAGCUGCAGCAUAAGGCUGCAUAAUGCCCUCACACAAGGCAUCUUGUGGUUCUUCCUGCAGACAGUGAACCAGGUAUCACCUAUACAUGCCUGUUUCAGGAGGAAGUUCUAUUUCACCUGAGAUGCUGCCUCCAUGAUGCUGGGGUUGGAUGGAAUGAGAUACCAAGAGGCUGCAAAACUGGAAGAUGAAGUGGGAGGGCAAGCAAAGAGGGGAUUGGAUCUACAGAGAAGAGCAGCAAAGAAUCUCAGAGCUGAGCUGUGUCUGCCCAAGGUAGUCCAUCCCUCCCAGAAAUGGUGGGAGGUCCCAUAGAUGCCUCUUUGGAAGAAAAUAUAGAAAUCCCAGACGUAAUUCUUUGCAUGUUGGUGAUGCUGAGGACUAUUGCCUUGAAGCCUUGAGCUGAAGCCAGGUCUGAAACAGGCCAGCAGAAAUGCUGAAGUGUGGAAGACAGCGGGAGAGCACAGCCAUCAUAGUUGGUACCUGUUUCUGCAAGUCCUGGACACUCCUCAUUCACAGUGGUGGCAAAAUUGAGAUCCAGCUGCUUCAUCAUCUUGUCUGCAGAUGUGUGAUACACUCCUGAAGGGCCAGUACACUUCAUCCAGAAAGCCAGCAAUGAUAGCUUCUUGUGGAACUCUGGAAUUGCUGGAGGAGAAGACAAUAUGUACAAUGAAACAAAGCAAUACUACAAGCACCAACUUCCAGAAGAGAAAAGACUCAGGAUGUGAGAAAAUUUGCUCAUGAUCCAGUUCUGGGCAUUCACAUCUCUUCCUUUUAAAUACCACAAAAUACUAGCGAAAUAGCACAAGUGUUCUGCACAAGACUGGUCCCUUCCUAGCACUGCUUUGUGGCCUUGGGUAAGUCACUCAAUCUUGCCUUCAUUUUCUAACAAACAAAGUAAAUACACCAUGUUAUAUUUACGUAUCAUGUCAAAGUGCUCACGAGGGUAGCUAUGUGCUUGUCAAAUUCUUCCAAGUUAUUAAAAUAGAUGCAUCAAUAGGAAAAAUAAUGAAAUAAUUCUCCGUAAAGAUGACAAAAUAUAAUUGAUAAAAUAUUCAAGAAGUUGUAUUAAUAUUUACAAGGCAAAUCCUGCCUUUCCUUGGGAAAGAGGAAAGAGAGGUGGAGGAAGACUUUGGCUCUUCAGAGGUGGCAGCAUCCCCACUCCAUCACAGUGGUGGUGGACCUCUGUCCAUAUUCUGCACAAGGAGGGUAAAAAGUCCUUUCUCUUUUCAGCUGCCUGGUUUUGGAUAGCAGAGCUGAAGACAGAAUAAGGUCCCUGACCUGCUGUGGUGACUGCUACAUCUGCUGGUAAGUCACGAGUUGGCCCUUACUAUGGUGGCAUCUCCUCCAGUGAUGGUGAGCUCUGCACAGCACUCGUUUCAGCAGGUAUGCAUGUCCAAACAAACCGUUUUCAGAAGCACACCCCUAAAUUGUCUCUUACCAUCAGUAAGGGAGGUGAUGUUUCCCAAGUUCUCACUGCUGAUCUCCGCGAUAUUCUCCAUCACGAGGAUCUGCCUGGACAGCUUAUCCAGGAGGCCUCUUGCCACAAAAGGUGUUUUACUGGAGAACACAAUUUGCUGGUGGAGACAAAUGGGGAGAGAGGAAAAGGAUUCAACCUCAGAAGAAAAAACCCCUCUGAAACACCUGGCAACUGAAGUGCAAUAGCAAGUUCACUGCCCUGGAACCAUGGCAUCUCCUUAACUUUGAAAGUUAGUUUUUUUCUGGGAUAGUGUAUGGUUGUGGCUGGUAUGCAUUGUUGCUUAUAUCUUGUAUAACAUCCACAUCCAGAUCCAGACACUUGAGUAUCCAAGCAGCCAUUUGCAUAUGUAAUUUCUGAUUUACGCACUCUGCAAAGCUAAAGGAGUCUAUCAUCACAAGCCUUAAAGCCAGAACAGAAUAUUAGUCUGACUUUCACAUAAUAUAGGCUGUGGACUUUCGGGACAUACCUGCCUGAGGGCACACCAAUGAUAGCUCUUUCUCCACUCCAUUUCAGCUCUGAUGAACUACUCAAGUGCCUUUAUUAAUUUGGUGCCUUCUUCCUGCUGCUGACAUCUGCACGUCACUCUUCUGCAGUCCAUAUAAAUAUUGUUCAUAUCCAAUCUGCUCCAUGUGUGGACAAUAGCUCAAGCUCACCUCCCCUGGCUGAAUAGCUACUGUGUACUCUUGUAUUUAAACCAAAACACUCAAUUUUUCUCAUACUUGUGAGUCAGCAGUGUCCAGCUCAGCACUAAAGGUAAUGGAAUUUGGCUUGCUCUCUAUUGAUUUAGUGGGCCUUUGGGAAAAUAAAGCUAAUUAUAUCUACGAUGGAAGAGCCAAAUAAUCACAAAGAGGAAGCUGCAGUAUGUUUUGAUUCCCAGGGAAACCCUGAAGCCCUUGCUUGCUGGAGUGGCUUUUGAUGGAGGUUUAAAAUCACAUUUCCUGUGCUCAGGUUCCAAAAAAAGAACAGCUCUAAAACACUGUGCUAGUUACCUGUCAGCGUGAACAGACACUUUUGAUGUCUGCCAUGUGUCAGGGGGCUGCCAUGUGCUGCCUUCACUGUGUCCGUUGCAGACCACCUCACUUACACAAAGUCAUUUCUGCUCUUAAACAUGGAGGCCUUUGCUCAGUUUUAAUCAGUGGGGCCACAGGCUUCUGGUUUACCAUGGAAGAUGUUGGCUGCCUUAACCAGGGACCUAUUUCAUUAGGAUGUCCUCCUGGUGAAGCCAGUGGACAUUUGUAACCCAGAGCAGGGGCUGCCCUGCUAGGAUGGAAAUCAUAGAAGCAUAG